UACGUAGGGUGCGAGCGUUAAUCGGAAUUACUGGGCGUAAAGCGCACGUAGUCGGCUCUGCAAGUCGGGUGUGAAAUCCCCGGGCUCAACCUGGGAACUGCAUUUGAGACUGCAUUGCUAGAGUAUGGGAGAGGGAAGCGGAAUUUCUGGUGUAGCAGUGAAAUGCGUAGAUAUCAGAAGGAACAUCAGUGGCGAAGGCGGCUUCCUGGACCAAUACUGACGAUCAGGUGCGAAAGCGUGGGGAGCAAAC
rnacentral:rRNA from 1 species